CUGAGGCCCCAAGCGUUACUGAGAAUCACUGGGUUUAAAGGGUGCGUAGGUGGCGCGUUUGGUCCGUCGUGAAAGCCCUGGGCUCAACCCAGGAACUGCUUCGGAUACUGGCGCGCUUGAGGCUAGUAGGGGUCACUGGAACUGACGGUGGAGCGGUGAAAUGCGUAGAUAUCGUCAGGAACGCCAAUGGUGAAGACAGGUGACUGGGCUAGUUCUGACACUGAGGCACGAAAGCGUGGGGAGCGAACGGGAUUAGAUACCCCGGUAGUCCACGCCCUAAACGAUGCAGACUAGACUGCAGCGGGUUACACCCCGUUGCGGUCGGAGCGAAAUUGUUAAGUCUGCCACCUGGGAAGUACGGUCGCAAGGCUA
rnacentral:rRNA from 1 species